ensembl:lncRNA
AACAUUGUGAAUACACAGUUUCUGGUUCUUUUUCCCCUUGGGGCAAUAGGCCAGAUAUCACUCACAAUUCAGAUAUCCUGGCCUUUCUCAAAAAUGUCAUUGCAUCAAGAACAUCAUGGCCGAGCAAAUUGUUGAAGAAAAAGAGGAUGCUUUUUAGUAGUGUUGCCAUAAUUAAAAAUCAUCUGCUGGAGUUCCUCUCGUGGCGCGGUGGUUAACGAAUCCGAGUAGGAACCAUGAGGUCACAGGGAUCGAACCCAAAUCCUCAUAGAUCCUAUUCAGGUUCAUAAACUGCUGAGCCACAGCAAGAACUCCAAGGGUUUUGUUUGUUUUAAUGUUGUUAAGGGUUUGAGGGUGUUUUUGCUUUUCCUGUACUGUCAUUAAACCUCAUAUUAGUUUGUUAGUGUUGCCAGAAUAAAGUACCAUGGACUGGGUGGCUUAAAAAGCAGAACUGUAUUUUCUCACAAUUCUGGAGCUUGGUAGUCCAGUUCUGGAGCAAGGUGUCAGCAUGGUUGGUUCUUCUGAAGCCUCUCUCUUUGGCUUGUAGAUGGCUGUCUUCUCCCUGUGUCCUCACCUAGUCUUCCCUUGUGUCUAUAGCUUCAUCUCCUCUUCUUAUAAGGGCAUAUGUCAUAUUAGGUUAGGGUUCAACCUCAUUACCUCUUUAAGGAUCCUACUUCCAAACUGGGCAUCUAUCCAGAGAAAACCACAACUUGAAAAGAUACAUGCACUCCAGUGUUCAUUGCAGCACUAUAUACAAUAGCCAAGACAUGGAAACAACCUAAAUGUCUAUCAACAGAGGAGGGGAUAAAGAAGAUGUGGUACAGAUACACAAUGGAAUAUUACUCAGCCAUUAAAAGGAAAGAAAUAACAGCAUUUGCAGCAGCAUGGAUGGACCUAGAAAUAAUCAUGCUAAGUGAAGUCAAUCAGACAGUGAGACACCAACAUCAAGUGCUAUCACUUACAUGUGGAAUCUAAAAAGAGGACACAAUGAACUUCUUUGCAGAACAGACACUGACUCACAGAUGUUGAAAAACUUAUGUUUUCCAAAUGAGACAGGUUGGGUGUGGGGAGGAUGCACUGGAGGUUUGGGAUGAAAAUGCUAUAAAAUUUGGUUGUGAUGAUCGUUGUACAACUAUUAAAAAAAAUACUAAAGUAUGAGAGUUUAGGACUUCAAAACUUGAAUCUGGGAAGGACACAGUUCAGCCCAUAACAACCCUGAUUCAGGAUCUUCCUGUCAAAUCUAUAAGACCUUUUCUUUGUAAUGGCCAGAAGGGAAAGUGAGAAGAUGGGAAGGCAUUCAUGAAUUUUCCACCAGACUUGGUUGGCUUCUGCAGCAACCAUUUUCAUCUUCCCUCCUCCUUCAGUGUGGAAGAAUUUUAAAAGUCCCCUGACCUCGAAGGCAUUAUGCUAAGUGAAAUAAGUCUGAGAAAGACAAAUGCUAUAUGAUGUCACUUAUAUGUAGAAUCAAAAAAAUAAAACAGAAAGAAAGAAGGAGAAACCCAUCAAGCUUAAAGAAAGUACAUUGUGGUUUUACCAGUGGAGGCUGGGGGGAGGGGAGGUAGGAGGAAGAUGGUCAAAAGAUAUAAACUUUCAAUUACGAGAUAAAUAAGUACUAGGGAUGUAAUUACAACACAAUAACUGUAGUUAACACUGCUGUGUGAUACAGGAGAGUUGUUACAGGUGUAGAUCCUAAGAGUUUGCAUCGCAUGGAGAGAUGUUUUCCUUUUCUUUUUAUUGUAUCUGGAUGAGAUGAUGCAUGUUAACUAAGCCUAAGCCUAUUUCGGUAACCAUUUCACAAUAUAUGCAAAUCAAACUAUCAAGCUUGUUUGAUUUGCAUAUAUUUCCACCUUAAACUUAUACAGGAAUGUAUGUCAAUUAUUUCUCAAUAAAAUGCAAAAAAAAAAAAAAAA